CCUACGGGAGGCAGCAGUGAGGAAUAUUGGACAAUGGGCGCAAGCCUGAUCCAGCCAUGCCGCGUGCAGGAAGACGGUCCUAUGGAUUGUAAACUGCUUUUGUACAGGAAGAAACACUCCCUCGUGAGGGAGCUUGACGGUACUGUAAGAAUAAGGAUCGGCUAACUCCGUGCCAGCAGCCGCGGUAAUACGGAGGAUCCAAGCGUUAUCCGGAAUCAUUGGGUUUAAAGGGUCCGUAGGCGGUUUAAUAAGUCAGUGGUGAAAUCUGGUCGCUCAACGAUCAAACGGCCAUUGAUACUGUUAGACUUGAAUUAUUAGGAAGUAACUAGAAUAUGUAGUGUAGCGGUGAAAUGCUUAGAUAUUACAUGGAAUACCAAUUGCGAAGGCAGGUUACUACUAAUGGAUUGACGCUGAUGGACGAAAGCGUGGGGAGCGAACAGGAUUAGAUACCCUGGUAGUCCACGCCGUAAACGAUGGAUACUAGCUGUUCGGAGCAAUCUGAGUGGCUAAGCGAAAGUGAUAAGUAUCCCACCUGGGGAGCAACGUUCGCAAGAAUGAAACUUNAAAGGAAUUGACGG
rnacentral:rRNA from 1 species